UUUCUGUGUCAAAUACUGGUACAGUAUAUUGCUAAUGCUGAAAACACAUUUAAACCCGUGCGUACAGUCGUUAUUACUGAUGUUGCUUAAAUCACAUGUUUCAAACUCAAACCUGCAGGCCACAACGUCAUUUUACAUGGCCUUCGAAAGCACGGAAUAUGUAAUAGGCACACUGUGUACUCAGCUGACAAAUCGUAGCACUUAAGAAUGGUUCAAUAAAAUAAGCGUUCUGGCUGCAGAUAGAAAACGUGCACACAUUUAAGGAUGAGAAAAAAAUGCUCAAUUGCAUAAUAAUUGUGCAUGCAGUGAAUACAUGUAUUUGCUUUCACAGUUACGACAGUAAGAGUUCAGUAAGAGUUAAUUUCAAUUGUAAUUAGGAGCAUUAUUCCCGGAAGCUAAGUGCAUUGUCCUUAUUGAUUGUGUUCUGUCUGAAUCCCAACAGAGGCAAAAAAUGCAUCCCUUAAGGAAGCUCAGCCAGUUGAGUAAAAGCUGCCAGAUGUAUAAUUUACCUUCUGGAUGCCGUACUCAAAUGCUUUCUGAGCCAGACGACCGGGGCCUUCCACCGUCUUGCCAUCAUCAUUGGGUCCCCAGCUGGCACUGUAGAUGUCCACAUGUUCUGGAUUGAAGCCAAUGGAGCUAGCCUCGAUGGCAUCCGUUACAAUCCCAUCUAGCAUGCGAAUGCCUGAAUACAAAAGAGCCAAGAGCAUUACGGUUCUCUUUGUGCAACCCCACCUCCUGAGAAUGCAGUUGCAUCCCAGUUGUCGAUGCAAAUGCGCAGCAGUGAUUGUAAUGACUGACUUAUUAACGUCGGCAGCAUUUGACAUAUUCUCAUAUUUUUUUCCAUAGUGUUAGAAAAACAAUAUGCACAUCUGACACAAGCAUACCCUCAUGCACGCAUGCAAACACAGCCGUGCAGGCGAUGAGUCACGCCCUGGUGUAAUUUUCAUGCAUCCAGCCACUCAUGUUAGAUAACGGCAGUCAUCUUCUUCAACUCUCCACUCUGUCGCUUUGCAGCAUUGCUCAUCCGGCUCCGUCACACAUGUAGCCCUCUCCAAUGUAAGCAAACAUCAACCGACGUCAUCGUCCUCUAACCCGUCACGCCACCCUCUUCGCCAUUUCUCUUCAUUCACAUAUGCACACAUCACAAAAUUGACAAAUUAGGUUUUUAUCAGGUGAUAUUGUACUUCAUUCCGCACAGCUUUUAUCCUUGAUGAAUGACUCAUGAUGCUUUAGAGUGGUGGACUGAUGUGGAAAUACAUUAAGUGCCACUUUAAGGUAGUCAUCAUCCCUUCUUAGACAAAAUGAUUGGGAAAUUUUGUUUUCUCAUUCUACACAAACUGUGUGUGUGACUCAUGUUUGGUCACCGCAGGUGUGGACAAGCGGGAGAUAAAUGGACUCCCGCUCCAUCUUUCACAAAACCACUCUAAGGCAAUACACAUUUAAACAUUACGCAACUAAUAAGUUCAUUGUUUUUGUUUCCCAGAACGGGAAGCUAAAGUAUAUGUGGCCGUGUAAAAAAAAAAUAUUAUUUUGGGCCCCAUCUAAAAAAAUAUUCAUGAUUUACUAUUUUCGAAUGGCCUCUGUAAGUCAUGGGCCCAAUCACCAUCACUUCCCCUGACCUGCAUAACAACAUUAAAGGGAUCAAGCCUUCAGGGCUGCCCCUCCCUAAAUGCAGUGCCCCACGAUCCAUUGGGGAACCCAUUUUGUGCAAGGUGGCGCAUUCUCAGCAAAUGCACAAAGGACGCACAUCGCUACGUCAGCCCGAGGCAGGAGAGAGAAAAAAAAAGAGAGAUGAGUAAUCUGACACCACACUCGUUGCCACAAUGAUUGACAGCACGCAGCAGAAUAAGAACACAAAAUGGCAGAAUUCACCAUUUCACUUGUCAGUCCUUGGUGGUGUAAUGGUACAGCUGCUGCCUUUUAAGAUAGAAGGCGUGGCCCUAAGGAAAAUCUAAUUCUGCACAGCUGUAAAAACUGACAGUUCUCUGCUCCAACUUGGCCUCAAUGGACUAAAAAAAAUCUCAUUUGGGAUAAAUUGGGACUUAAUGAAUUGUGCUCUGCUCUGUUCCAUCCUGCUGGAUUAGAGUCUCUCCACUACUCUCAUCCCGACUCGGACUCUGUAACCAAUUAAGCUAAUGGCUCUUUUGGCCAGAAUUGCUUCAUUGUAUGCUGUUCUAUUAUUGUUUGUUUGUAUUUUUCCAUUUUAGUGCCAUUGUUAGCACAAUGAGAACAAAACUGGGAUCAACAUGACAGGUUUCAUAACCACCUCAGGGGAAAAGAAAGGAGGAAGCAAACAGAAGGCCCAUACUAGCUUUCUUGCGGACUCACCAAAUACCACUGCUGGUUCCACAUGGGGUCGUCAAACAACUUGUCCACCGGGCAGUCCCUGCACUCCCCGAGGGAUGCGCGCUUGUUGCGCCGUUUCUCGUACUGUUGCUCUGCCCAAAGCACCUGCACAGAACGGUGGGAUUACUUUGUGUUCGAGGUGCACCAGGACGAAAUGAAAACUAAAGAAGCCACUCACCCGAUCAUCCUCCGACAGCCGCCUGGUGAUGUGUUCUGCACCUCGCUUCAUUCUGCGUGGAUGUUUUCGAUGUCUGAACAAAAAAUGGUCCUUCAGGGCGCCAAUCUGCAGAGAUAAGAGAGACCGGGUAGUGGAAAUCUGCCUAAUAUCAACCAAUGUAUCUCAAGUGGAGCAUUCAGAGGUAAAAACAUAACGAAUUAUUCAUACACAGACAAAAGCAAAACAUACUGGCCACGGCUAAAGGCCCAGUUGAAUAAGAUCCAGUACACGGCAAAGAUAAUAAUGCUUGUUUUGACCUUGGGAGGUAUUCAUUUAACAAUAUCUUAAUUAUGUGGUCGCAGUUUGCAGUGAUGGCGUAGAGCUGUACUGCAUCAGACUAUUUCUAAUAUUAUGGUUACCUUGUCUUUAAUCCUGAAAUGGCACAAGAAAGUGGCAAAAGAUGAUCUUUAUAUUGAAAGAAAAAAUCAUUAUCUUGAAACUACUAAUAAAAAGACGACCAUAAUUAUUCACACAGAUAGAAAUACAUGCAUAUUCAGUAUUCCCCUUUUAGAGUGGAUUAGAUUGUUCUAUGCCAGAUGUUACUCGUGAAUGGUGCGAAAUGUAACAUUUUCUCAAUAAACAAAGAAUGAACAAGGAGAAUAUUUUUCACUAAUAACUCUCUUAACUUUUAUUUGUCACUUUAAUGGUUGUUUGUAUGUGCCCUGCGAUUGGCUGGCGACCAGUCCAGGGUGUACCCCGCCCCUCGCCCAAAGUCAGCUGGGAUAGGCUCCAGCAUACCCCCGAGGCAUAUAAAAUGAAUGAAUCCAUGUGGUGUGCAAAAUAUUAGAAGCACUUCUCAGUGUGAUGCGCUACAUAUUAUAAUCACAAUAUGUGAAAUAAUGACCUUUUUUUAUUUUUUUUUUUAAUUGAGCUCUGCCUCUUCCUACUGCUUUUCAAACAUGUUGAAUUGUGCAAGGGUAACUGUGAUGUCCCUCAAUGUAACUUGUUGAGCAUGUUAGAAACAAAUAAACUACCGCU